rnacentral:tRNA from 2 species
GGACUGUAGUUCAAUUGGUUAGAGCACCGCCCUGUCACGGCGGACGUUGCGGGUUCGAGUCCCGUCAGUC